GGUGAAAGCCAACAAGAGCAAUAGGGAGAAGAAGACUUUUCCCCACCAUUUCGGUUCGAAGCCCUUCUCAUAUAGGAUAGAGGCGCGACGGCGGAGGGUUCAAAAUUCUCAGAGAUUGAUGUCUUUAACGACGUUUACGUUCGACCUAGGGAUGAGUUGGUCGAGUCCCUUCAUGCGACAAUGAUGGAGAAGAGGCAGUUGGUUCUUCAUGAGUCCGCCUCCCAGCUUCCUCCCGAGACUCUACUCGAGUUUGUAGAUCCCCAGAGGAUGCGGGGUUUCAGAUCCUUAUGGAGACCUUGGAUCAAACUCUCGGGCUGAGGCUGGAGACAUAUUGUAGGGGAAUGGGGAAUGCUCGGCGGCGGGAACCUAGAGCCUCUUCAUCGUUGUAGUUAAAGAGUCAGGUGACAACUUUGUACAGGCCUUCAGUCAGUCCGACAUUCGUCUCUUGGAUCUUCGUCCCCAGUCGACUUCUGAGCCCCUCCAACCCGAGCAUGCCCACACCUCUGCCCCUUCGACCUCUGAGCCUGUCGACAACCUCGAGACCUUCCAACCACCUCCGCAUGAUGACCACGUAGA